GGAAGGUCCGGGCGUUAUCCGGAUUUAUUGGGUUUAAAGGGAGCGUAGGCCGGAGAUUAAGCGUGUUGUGAAAUGUAGACGCUCAACGUCUGAACUGCAGCGCGAACUGGUUUCCUUGAGUACGCACAAAGUGGGCGGAAUUCGUGGUGUAGCGGUGAAAUGCUUAGAUAUCACGAAGAACUCCGAUUGCGAAGGCAGCUCACUGGAGCGCAACUGACGCUGAAGCUCGAAAGUGCGGGUAUCAAACAGGAUUAGAUACCCUGGUAGUCCACACAGUAAACGAUGAAUACUCGCUGUUUGCGAUAUACAGUAAGCGGCCAAGCGAAAGCGUUAAGUAUUCCACCUGGGGAGU
rnacentral:rRNA from 1 species